AUUAAAAAUAUUUACGAUUUAUAUUUAGCAUUUUGUUUACACACCACGCGAAAAAAAAAGUGAGGGCAGCAGAAGGCAAACAAGCUAAUUUUAAAUUUUUGGGCCAACAGAUGAAUAUGGUACGGAGCCAAUAAAUAAGUCUCCACCAUCCAAAGAUCUUAAAUAAAACGGAGCUAAAUAGUACUAAACGUAUUCGCUCUAAAGACAGUAUUGUUAAUUUUUAAGAUAAUUUUUUUAAACAUCUUUAACUAAUUAUGCUGGAAGGACGACGGACAAAACUAUUAGUUAUAGUGAUGUCAAUGAUCAGAUGAAAUUGGUCUUCCGUCAACACUCACCAUUAUCUUCCUCCACAUCCGACUCGCACUUGGGGAAGUAGUAUUCCAGGAGGCGCUCGGCCAGCGCCGUGGUGGUGUCCACUCCGUUGACAGCUAGACUGCCGUACUGGGUGGCCAGCACCUCGUUGGCCUUCUGCCAGGCAAGAUCCUUCAGAGAGGCGGCCUUCUGCUGGCCGGCUGCCUUGAACUUGACGACGCGCUCCAAAUGGGGCUGCACCACGUCAAUCACCUUGCUCUUGGCCUGGUUGUAGAUCUCCUGUGGUGUGUCCUUGAUGAU